UCCGGAGGGCGCAAUCGUUGUUCGGAAUCAUUGGGCGUAAAGCGCGUGCAGGCGGCUUGGUAAGUCGGGUGUGAAAGCCCGGGGCUCAACCCCGGAACUGCACCCGAUACUGCCUCGCUAGAGUCUCGGAGAGGAUGGCGGAAUUUCCGGUGUAGAGGUGAAAUUCGUAGAUAUCGGAAGGAACACCAGCGGCGAAGGCGGCCAUCUGGACGGUGACUGACGCUCAGACGCGAAAGCGUGGGGAGAAAACAGG
rnacentral:rRNA from 1 species